AGACCUUACCCCCCCUGAA
rnacentral:piRNA from 1 species